UGAGGACCUGCAAAGAUUAUGAGGAGUUUCAACUCAGGAUAUGGUGUCCAAGUCCUAAUCAGAGGGAGAGGAGAGAAUUGGCUUCUGUACAUCUGUACCUAUCACCGCUUCAUGCUAUGUUUCCAAUUUAGGUGCUGAUGUCCAACUUUAGCUUGUUCCUUCUGCUACAAAACAAGGACAAACUUGAUGAAUGCAGAAAAGUCAAGCAAUGAUUGAUUUCCUAAUCAAUAUUAGCAUUUCGCUCUCUUUUUUCCCUCCCUACAACCUCUGAUCCUGGCAAAGGCUGUUAGUUUGGAUGAAGAUGAUUGACAAGGAUGGGAAGCUCUUAUACUUAAUUCUCUUUUAAAAUCUAUUGAAGCAAAAACUUCUCCAAUGACCUCUGACAAGGAUUUUGUCAUCAUCCUCUGGUUCAGACAGAAACCUUCAUAGAACAACAAGAACAAAAUGUGAAAAAAAAAACCCCAACAACACAAAGCAGUCAUUGCCAAUAAAAUUGUUGAGAGCUAAAAGGCAGAGAAACAUUUGCAUUUGAGAUACUAUGAUGCCUGUUUUUUUUUUUUUGACACUCUAAGGGAUAGUUUCUCUUUAAAGCAUAGCUAGAGCAAAGAAUGCGUCCGAGAUUAUAUAAUAUCCUCUGAUAGUGACAUCAGAUUUAGGGUUGGCUUACUUUUCCUUGCCUACUCACUUCUGAAAAUUGCCUCUGGGAUGCAGAGUCCAUCCUUAAAUAAAGCCUUCCCCUUACUCCAUAUUUCAUGUGAAGGUAUAUUCUCAGAUGCCUGAAAUCAGAAUAAAUCUCUCACUGUUCACAGGUCCUCCAUGAGGAAGUUUCUAGCUUCCUGUUAGAGGCUGUGUUUGUGGCACACUUUCAAGUCUAUACUUAUUGGUAAUUCAAAUAAAGGGCUUAAAGGAGUCAAGGUGAUACCACCAUCUCUUGUAUGAUAAGGCAAUGUCUACUAGUGUCCAUGUGCUUGUCAGUACCCU